CAGGGCCCAGCUGGAUGGGCGGAAGAACUCUCAAAUGGAUGAGGAGAGAGGCACAAGUGCUGACGGUGGUGAAGUUGGCAGUGGAGGAGGUGGGGGCUGGUUUUGUGCUAUGAGAUCCCUCCAGACCCCCGGAGGAGGGCUCAGCCUCGUCUGCAAGGCCUCCGGAUUCACCUUCAGCAGUUUGGAUAUGCUCUGGGUGCGACAGGCACCUGGCAAGGGGCUGGAAUUCGUCGCAGGUAUUUGUGGUGCUGGGAACUACGCGCCGGCGGUGCAGGGCCGUGCCACCAUCUCCAGGGACAACGGGCAGAGCACAGUGAGGCUGCAGCUGAACAACCUCAGGGCUGAGGACACCGCCACCUACUGCUGCGCGAAAGCUGCUGGUGGUAGUGGUUGCUCUGGCUAUGCUUAUAAUAUCGACGUCGCACCUGGAUUUAGAUCUGUCACCCAGAGCCCAGAUGGAGGCAUCAGAGCCCGAUUGGUGUCACCUGGUCAUUGA